rnacentral:rRNA from 1 species
UACCUGGAUGAUCCUGCCA